CAAAUGCAUACUAAAACUUGCGGAACACUAAAUUAUUUUGCUUUAUUUAUUUGGUUAUUUCAUAAGUAACAUUUAAACGGAUUUGAAGUUUUACGUGCGUAUACGUACGUAUGAAAAACGCAACAGUGGAAAUCAGCCUUUACAAUUCCUUCGUGCAGAACUUAGAAUUUACCUAUGCAAAAUUCCUACUGUAAUCACAGAAACAGUUGACAAAAAUGGGUUCGUCGACAAUGAGUUCGUUCGAGAACAAGUCGAAC